rnacentral:rRNA from 1 species
AGAGUUUGAUCCUGGCUCAGGAUGAACGCUGGCGGCGUGCCUAAUACAUGCAAGUCGAGCGGUAAGGCUCUGCACUUAGUAUUUGAUCGUAAAAGUUUACUUUUAAAGCAGACCAAUUAGACCCUAGGCUAGGGAAAGAGAAGUAAGUGGAGAUCGAAUAAUGAGUGUAGAGUACACGAGCGGCGGACGGCUGAGUAACACGUAGGAACGUACCCCAAAGUGAGGGAUAAGCACCAGAAAUGGUGUCUAAUACCACAUGUGAUCUUCGGAUUAAAGCUCCGGCGCUUUGGGAGCGGCCUGCGCAUGAUUAGCUUGUUGGUGAGGUAAUAGCUCACCAAGGCGACGAUCAUUAGCUGGUCUGAGAGGAUGAUCAGCCAGACUGGAACUGAGAACGGUCCAGACUCCUACGGGAGGCAGCAGUAGGGAAUUUUCCACAAUGGGCGAAAGCCUGAUGGAGCAACGCCGCGUGCAGGAUGAAGGCCUUAGGGUUGUAAACUGCUUUUAUAUGUGACGAAUAUGACGGUAGCAUAUGAAUAAGGAUCGGCUAACUCCGUGCCAGCAGCCGCGGUCAUACGGAGGAUCCAAGCGUUAUCCGGAAUUACUGGGCGUAAAGAGUUGCGUAGGUGGCAUGGUAAGUAGGUAGUGAAAGCGUGUGGCUCAACCAUACUCACAUUAUCUAAACUGCUAAGCUAGAGGAUGAGAGAGGUUAUUGGAAUUCCCAGUGUAGGAGUGAAAUCCGUAGAUAUUGGGAGGAACACCGAUGGCGUAGGCAGAUAACUGGCUCAUUCCCGACACUAAGGCACGAAAGCGUGGGGAGCAAACGGGAUUAGAUACCCUGGUAGUCG